rnacentral:lncRNA from 1 species
GUAUGUGUGUAUGCAUACACACACAUAAUUUUUUUAGUUGUCGAUAGAUCUUUAUCUUAUUAUUAUUUUUUUCUUUUUGAUGGUGCUGGGAUUGAACCCAGGGCCCUGUGCAUUUGAGGAAAGUAUGCUACCAACUGAGUUGCAACCCCAGGCCUAGAUCUUUGUUUUAUUUAUUCCUUUGCAGUACUGAGAAUCGAACCCAGUGCCUCACACAUGCCUGGAAAGUGCACUACCACUGAGCCCCAGCCCCAGCCCCAUCAUUGGCAUUUUGAUGGGAAUAUUACCUAAGACUUCUUUGGCCCUCUACAACUUUGCUACUAUAGAUGCAAGAAGGAAAAGAACAAUACCAGCUCAUACACAAUAUUAUAUUCUGCCUUGAGUUUUGAUCAUUUACCUUUUUUAGAAUGUGAACAUGAGCACUUUAUAGUAUUGAUGAACCAGGAAGUCAGUUCCAUUAUUAAUAUUUUAUAGUAUUAGUAAGUGUGAAGAUCUUUGUUUUGAAAAGCAAUUGUUUUGUGCUGUAUGUAUAUACAUGACAGCAUGACCAAUGUGAUUCUGCAACCUGUACACUCAGAAAAAUGAGAAAUUAUACCCCAUCUGAUUCAAAUGUAUGAUAUGUCAAUAUCAUUGUACUGUCAUGUGUAAAUAAUUAAAACAAAUUAAAAAAAGAAAUCUUUAAAAAAAGAAAAGCAAUUGUUUUGUAUAAUGACAUAUCAAAGCUUAAGUUGAUAAAAAUUAAUUUUAA